AUAUUUUUUUUUUGUUAAUUUAUCGUUUUUAAAAAAAAUCAAAAGUUAUCAGACGUCCACUAACUUCAAUAUCAUAAAUGUUGACUUAGCUCCCGAAAACGUUUUUCGUCCAAAAUAUUUUCUUAACUCAAUAACUGUUUUUUCUGUGUAUAAGCUGAUGUCAUUCAUGCGUGUUUGCUAAUGUAAAUUUUCAAGUAAUCAGCUGAUUAAUGAGUUAAAAAAAGAUCAACGAAUACGCUCGUUAAAAUAAAGGACACCAGUUACACAUUUGCAAUUUGUAUGUAAAUCAGUUGCUGGAAAAGUUUCAUGCAUACGAAUGUCUCACACGGUUCACUGUUGAUGCUAAUGCAAAAUGGUCAGGCUUUGUUGGAUAAACUCAUCAAGUUAAAUAAUUGCAUAAAGGACAAUUUAUCGAUUCAAAUUAUCCAGAAUAUCUAAGCACAUAAAUUAGGUUAAUUAAAAUGGCUCAUAAAAGAAUAACAUUGAAUAAUGUUUACUGAUAUCUAUUUCAUUGAUGUGUACAUAAUUGGUAGGAACAUCGACCCUACCGAAUGAUGUAUGAGAAACAACAGAGUGCAAAUUACUCACUGUAUAUUUUUAGCGAACCCCCAAAGAGCUAGUGCACAAAUAUCAUUUCAGCAGCAGCUCACACUCGAGUUGCCUGAUAAUUAUUUGUAAUAAAAAAUAUCGGCUGAUGAAAA